rnacentral:rRNA from 1 species
UACGUAGGUGGCAAGCGUUGUCCGGAUUUACUGGGCGUAAAGGGCGCGCAGGCGGCAGAUCAAGUCAGACGUGAAAGCCCCGGGCUUAACCUGGGAACUGCGUUUGGGACUGGUUUGCUAGAGAUCGGGAGAGGAGAGUGGAAUUCCCAGUGUAGAGGUGAAAUUCGUAGAUAUUGGGAAGAACACCGGUGGCGAAGGCGGCUCUCUGGACCGAUACUGACGCUGAGGCGCGAAAGCGUGGGGAGCAAACAGG